CGCGGCCUAUCAGCUUGUUGGUGAGGUAACGGCUCACCAAGGCAACGACGGGUAGCUGGUCUGAGAGGACGAUCAGCCACACUGGGACUGAGACACGGCCCAGACUCCUACAGGAGGCAGCAGCAGGGAAUCUUGUCCAAUGGGCGAAAGCCUGAGACAGCGACGCCGCGUGGGGGAUGAAGGCCUUCGGGUUGUAAACCCCUUUCAGGAGGGACGAAAUUGACGGUACCUCCAGAAGAAGCCCCGGCCAACUACGUGCCAGCAGCCGCGGUAAUACGUAGGGGGCGAGCGUUGUCCGGAAUUAUUGGGCGUAAAGGGCUCGUAGGCGGCUUGGUAAGUCGGUCGUGAAAGCCCGGGGCUUAACCCCGGGACGCCGGUCGAUACUGCCAUGGCUUGGGUCCGGUAGAGGAGAAUGGAAUUCUCGGUGUAGCGGUGAAAUGCGCAGAUAUCGAGAGGAACACCAGUAGCGAAGGCGGUUCUCUGGGCCGGUACCGACGCUGAGGAGCGAAAGCGUGGGGAGCAAACAGGAUUAGAUACCCUGGUAGUCCACGCUGUAAACGUUGGGCACUAGGUGUGGCGGACUCAUCAAUGUUCGCCGUGCCGACGCUAACGCAUUAAGUGCCCCGCCUGGGGAGUACGG
rnacentral:rRNA from 1 species